rnacentral:rRNA from 1 species
CCUACGGGAGGCAGCAGUAGGGAAUAUUGCUCAAUGGGGGAAACCCUGAAGCAGCCACGCCGCGUGGAGGCUGAAGGUUUUCGGCUCGUAAACUCCUUUUGUUAGAGAAGAUAAUGACGGUAUCUAACGAAUAAGCCCCGGCUAACUACGUGCCGGCAGCCGCGGUAAUACGGAGGGUGCAAGCGUUACUCGGAUUCACUGGGCGUAAAGAGCGCGUAGGCGGGGUAGCAAGUCAGAUGUGAAAUCCUAUGGCUUAACCAUGGGACUGCAUUUGAAACUGUUAUUCUAGUGUACGGGAGUGGUAGGUGGAAUUCUUGGUGUAGGGGUAAAAUCCGUAGAUAUCAAGAGGAAUACUCAUUGCGAAGGCGACCUGCUAGAACAUAACUGACGCUGAUGCGCGAAAGCGUGGGGAGCAAACAGGAUUAGAUACCCUUGUAGUC